rnacentral:rRNA from 1 species
CCUACGGGAGGCAGCAGUGAGGAAUAUUGGUCAAUGGUCGGGAGACUGAACCAGCCAAGCCGCGUGAGGGAUGAAGGUACAGAGUAUCGUAAACCUCUUUUGCCAGGGAACAAAGGCGGGGACGUGUCCCCGGAUGAGUGUACCUGAAGAAAAAGCAUCGGCUACCUCCGUGCCAGCAGCCGCGGUAAUACGGAGGAGGCGAGCGUUAUCCGGAUUUAUUGGGUUUAAAGGGUGCGUAGGCGGUCUUUGAAGUCAGCGGUAAAAGCCCGGGGCUCAACCCCGGCCCGCCGUUGACACUGGCAGUCUCGAGUUGGAGAGAAGUAUGCGGAAUGAGCGGUGUAGCGGUGAAAUGCAGAGAUAUCGCGCAGAACUCCGAUUGCGAAGGCAGCAUGCCGGCUCCACACUGACGCUGAGGCACGAAAGCGUGGGUAUCGAACAGGAUUAGAUACCCUGGUAGUC